GUACAACCCAGAGUGUGCCCUCUCCCAGGUACAGCCACUGGAGCCCUGGGGCAAUACUGUUUAUGGCUAUGCCACGUGCGAAGAUGCAGAAGCCUAUGAGCUGCAGGAUGGUGAGUUCAGCUCUGGGAUCUUCAUGAAAUAUUUGAAGAAACAUAUUUUGCAGGAGAAGAAAGUUACACACAUGCUGGAAGAUGUAUUAGAAGGUAAAGGAGUGGUUUGUACCCAAGCUGGAAAUGUGUUUCCCUAGCAGGGAUGAGAAAAAAUAUCAGCAGAAACCAAGUCCCAGCAAAGGAGAGAGGAAAGAUCAGCACCCCUGUUCUGCUUCCCCAGAAAUGAAGUUGCAGGCUGUAUUCCACGCAAGGGUUUAGUGUUCUGGCAGCAUGGAGCAGAAUGUUGAUGUAGUCUGAAAGGCAGGAUGGUAAAUAAGGAACCUGGAGUGACACUUGUGCCACUAAAAUGUCUUUUCCAGACCUUGGCCAGGAUCCAAUGGUCACUGGGAAGCAGGUGAUGGAGAUCAAACACACUCUGAAGGAAGCCCGUUCCCUGACAGACCCCAUCUGCCCCACAGGAGCAGCCUCAGAGCGCUGGGGAUGCAGCCACGAGCCCCCAAGCGAAACAGUGACGUUCCCCUGUGGAGUGCAGGCAGAGCUUCACUUCCACCGGCUUUUCUCCAACGUGUUGUCUGUCUGCGCCAAGCUGCAGGACCUCCCGGCCCCCAUCACUGAUGCCCAGCUCAUGCUCCGCCAGCCCACUGAAGUGGACGAUGUGACCAAUCUGGAAGAGAGUCACCCAGACCAAAUGGAUUCUCUGCUUACCUCUGUCUAUAGGCAGGAGAAGCUGGACUGUGUCUUCCAACUCUGUGGACUACAGAAAAUUCAGAUGGACGUGGUCCUGCAGUUGGAUUUGCAUUACACUCAGCUGAGCACAAAGCAAAGGACUUCUGAAAGCCUACAGAAAAUCCUCCCAAAACAGCUGCUGGGGCGGUUUUUCACCCAAAGGAACUACACCUGGGCCAGCUAUGACAGCACUCCGGCCCAGGCAGACUCUGGGGGGGCCCUGAGGACAGGCAUUGGCCGCAGCUUGCCCAGCAGCAGCCCCUCCAUGUCCAGGAGUGAGCCAGAGGAGAACGACGAGCGCAGCAUGAGUGAGCUCUGCUCAGCCCUGCUGCGGGCUGGCCCAGGGCAAGAGCACCCCUGA
rnacentral:lncRNA from 1 species